CUAUAAUCCUUGACAAUAUCUGUUAUCCAUAGGCUACCUCGGGCCUGAAAUGGUUGGAAAGGAGGGUGGUGAGAUUAUAAAAUCCCAGUGAGUAAACAGAUACCACCUAAACCAUCUAAAGUCGAGUAAAUGGAGAUAGAUAAAAUAGUUUAACAUACUGAAAUUCAUCACCUUUCAACUUGUUUCAACUAAAUAAAAUCAAUUCAUAUAAAUCGAGUAAUUAACAUGGCUUAUGAAUUUCUUAAAACUUUGGCUCGUGCCAAAAUCAUUAUCAUACUCAGUCAUCA
rnacentral:lncRNA from 1 species